GUUGUAUGGUUAAGUGACUAAGCGUACACGGUGGAUGCCUUGGCAGUCAGAGGCGAUGAAAGACGUAGUAACUUGCGAUAAGCCCAGAUUAGGUAGUAACAACCAUUUGAGUCUGGGAUUUCUGAAUGGGGAAACCCACGUGCAUAAGCACGUAUCCUUACCUGAAUACAUAGGGUAAGGAGGCGAACCGGGGGAACUGAAACAUCUAAGUACCCCGAGGAAAAGAAAUCAACCGAGAUUCCGAAAGUAGCGGCGAGCGAAAUUGGACUAGCCCUUAAGCUUUACACGCGUUAGACGAACGGUCUGGAAAGUCCGACGAUACAGGGUGAUAGUCCCGUAGUUGACGACGUGUGUUCAGUGAAAUCGAGUAGGGCGGGACACGUGAUAUCCUGUCUGAAUAUGGGGGGACCAUCCUCCAAGGCUAAAUACUACUGACUGACCGAUAGUGAACCAGUACCGUGAGGGAAAGGCGAAAAGAACCCCUGUGAGGGGAGUGAAAUAGAACCUGAAACCGUGUACGUACAAGCAGUAGGAGCAGGCUUUGUCCUGUGACUGCGUACCUUUUGUAUAAUGGGUCAGCGACUUAUAUUCAGUGGCAAGGUUAACCAUCUAGGGGAGCCGUAGGGAAACCGAGUCUUAACUGGGCGUUCAGUCUCUGGAUAUAGACCCGAAACCAGGUGAUCUAGCCAUGGGCAGGUUGAAGGUUGAGUAACAUCAACUGGAGGACCGAACCGACUAAUGUUGAAAAAUUAGCGGAUGACUUGUGGCUAGGGGUGAAAGGCCAAUCAAACCUGGAGAUAGCUGGUUCUCCCCGAAAGCUAUUUAACCCUUUGCAAACUCCGAAUACCAGUAAGUACUAUCCGGGAGACACACGGCGGGUGCUAACGUCCGUCGUGGAGAGGGAAACAACCCAGACCGCCAGCUAAGGUCCCAAAUUACUACUAAGUGGGAAACGAUGUGGGAAGGCUCAGACAGCCAGGAUGUUGGCUUAGAAGCAGCCAUCAUUUAAAGAAAGCGUAAUAGCUCACUGGUCGAGUCGGCCUGCGCGGAAGAUGUAACGGGGCUAAGUAGUAAACCGAAGCUGCGGCAAUAUACUUUUGUAUAUUGGGUAGGGGAGCGUUCUGUAAGCGGUUGAAGGUGUGUGGUAACGCAUGCUGGACGUAUCAGAAGUGCGAAUGCUGACAUGAGUAACGAUAAAGGGGGUGAAAAACCUCCUCGCCGGAAGACCAAGGGUUCCUGUCCAACGUUAAUCGGGGCAGGGUAAGUCGACCCCUAAGGCGAGGCCGAAAGGCGUAGUCGAUGGGAAACGGGUUAAUAUUCCCGUACUUCUUACAAUUGCGAUGGGGGGACGGAGAAGGCUAGGUGGGCCUGGCGACGGUUGUCCAGGUUCAAGUGCGUAGGCUUGAGAGUUAGGUAAAUCCGGCUCUCUUUAAGGCUGAGACACGACGUCGAGCAUCUACGGAUGUGAAGUCAUUGAUGCCAUGCUUCCAGGAAAAGCCUCUAAGCUUCAGAUUGUAAGGAAUCGUACCCCAAACCGACACAGGUGGUCGGGUAGAGAAUACCAAGGCGCUUGAGAGAACUC
rnacentral:rRNA from 1 species